rnacentral:rRNA from 1 species
UACACUCCUACGGGAGGCAGCAGUGGGGAAUUUUGGACAAUGGGCGAAAGCCUGAUCCAGCCAUGCCGCGUGCAGGAUGAAGGCCUUCGGGUUGUAAACUGCUUUUGUACGGAACGAAACGGCCUUUUCUAAUAAAGAGGGCUAAUGACGGUACCGUAAGAAUAAGCACCGGCUAACUACGUGCCAGCAGCCGCGGUAAUACGUAGGGUGCAAGCGUUAAUCGGAAUUACUGGGCGUAAAGCGUGCGCAGGCGGUUAUGUAAGACAGUUGUGAAAUCCCCGGGCUCAACCUGGGAAUUGCAUCUGUGACUGCAUAGCUAGAGUACGGUAGAGGGGGAUGGAAUUCCGCGUGUAGCAGUGAAAUGCGUAGAUAUGCGGAGGAACACCGAUGGCGAAGGCAAUCCCCUGGACCUGUACUGACGCUCAUGCACGAAAGCGUGGGGAGCAAACAGGAUUAGAAACCCUAGUAGUCCCAU